ACCUCUUGAGUAUGAUUAGUACAUUUGCCUUCCAAGCAGAAAGAUUAAGAUAGCCUUAAAGGAGGUA
rnacentral:tRNA from 1 species